GACGAACGCUGGCGGCGUGCUUAACACAUGCAAGUCGAGCGGUAAGGCCCUUUCGGGGGGUACACGAGCGGCGAACGGGUGAGUAACACGUGGGUGACCUGCCCUCAGCUCUGGGAUAAGCCUGGGAAACUGGGUCUAAUACUGGAUAUGACUCCACGGUGCAUGUCGUGGGGUGGAAAGCCUUGUGCGGCUGAGGAUGGGCCCGCGGCCUAUCAGCUUGUUGGUGGGGNGAUGGCCUACCAAGGCGACGACGGGUAGGCCGGCCUGAGAGGGCGACCGGCCACACUGGGACUGAGACACGGCCCAGACUCCUACGGGAGGCAGCAGUGGGGAAUCUUGCGCAAUGGGCGAAAGCCUGACGCAGCGACGCCGCGUGAGGGAUGACGGCCU
rnacentral:rRNA from 1 species